rnacentral:lncRNA from 1 species
GUGUAGGUGUAGGGGAUGAUGGUCCUACUGUAGGUGCAGGAGAGGAUGGCUCUGCAAAAUCUAAGGGUGAGGAGGAAGAUCCAGAAGCAUCUGGCUGCACUCCCUCAACCUUUCUGAUCCAAACAUCAUCAUCUUUCCUGAACUUCAUGCGAUGCAGGGUAUGGAUGUUGUAGAAGUCAGUGCGCUUGAGUGUCUUGUAGCCCUCUCCU